rnacentral:lncRNA from 1 species
UGAAUUUUUAUACAAGUCUUUAUUUACAACUUGUUUAACAACUGUACACUUUUUGCAGCCUUGAAAACAUUUUUGUACUUGAAUGGGAAAAUAUAGUUUGACCAAAUCUUAACUUUAUUCUUUCAUGUUUUUGUGAGUUUGGUGAAAAUUUCUUUCUGAGGCUCUCUAACAAGUCAUCUACCUCAGAGAAACAGUGAGAAAACUCACGAAUCUAACAGAGUCAACGACUGGCAAACAGGUGCGACAUUGCUCGGAUGCAUUUUUGUACGAAGUUGCUAAAACUGCACUGAUUCAGUGUU